rnacentral:rRNA from 1 species
CUAACAAGGAUUCCCCUAGUAACUGCGAGUGAAGCGGGAAAAGCUCAAAUUUAAAAUCUGGCGGUCUCCGGCCGUCCGAGUUGUAGUCUGGAGAAGCGUUUUCCGCGUCGGCCCGUGUACAAGUUUCCUGGAACGGAGCGUCAUAGAGGGUGAGAAUCCCGUCUCUGACACGGACCGCCGAUGCUUUGUGAUGCGCUCUCGAAGAGUCGAGUUGUUUGGGAAUGCAGCUCAAAAUGGGUGGUGAAUUCCAUCUAAAGCUAAAUAUUGGCGAGAGACCGAUAGCGAACAAGUACCGUGAGGGAAAGAUGAAAAGCACUUUGGAAAGAGAGUUAAACAGUACGUGAAAUUGUUGAAAGGGAAACGCUUGAAGUCAGUCGCGUCUGCCGGGACUCAGCCUUGCAAUCUUGCUUGGUGUACUUUCUGGUGGACGGGCCAGCAUCAAUUUUGGUCGCCGGACAAAGGCUGGAGAAAUGUGGCACCUUCGGGUGUGUUAUAGUCUCUGGUCGCAUACGGCGGUCGGGAUUGAGGAACUCAGCAUGCCUUUAUGGUCGGGGUUCGCCCACGUUCAUGCUUAGGAUGCUGGCGUAAUGGCUUUAAACGACCCGUCUUGAAACACGGACCAAGGAGUCUAACAUGCCCGCGAGUGUUCGGGUGGAAAACCCGUGCGCGUAAUGAAAGUGAAAGUUGGGACCUCUGUCGUGGAGGGCACCGACGCCCGGACCAGAACUUCUGUGACGGAUCUGCGGUAGAGCGUGUAUGUUGGGACCCGAAAGAUGGUGAACUAUGCCUGAAUAGGGUGAAGCCAGAGGAAACUCUGGUGGAGGCUCGUAGCGAUUCUGACGUGCAAAUCGAUCGUCAAAUUUGGGUAUAGGGGCGAAAGACUAAUCGAAC